rnacentral:lncRNA from 10 species
UCAGGCUGGUCUCGAACUCCUGACCUCAGGUGAUCUGCCUGCCUCGGCCUCCCAGAGUGCUGGGAUUACAAGCAUGAGCCACCGUGCCCGGCCUUUUCUCUUUUUUUUUUUUUUUUUAAGAGAUGGGGUCUUACUAUAUUGCCCAGACUGGAGUGCAGUGGCUGUUCACAGGUGUGAUCAUAAAAAUACACUGAAGCCUGCAACUCCUGACCUCAAGUGAUCCUCUUGCCUCAGCAUCCCAAGUAGCUGGGACUACAGGCACACACCACUGAACACAGUUCUUAUUUUGUUUUAAAAGUAUGUUUUCAAAAGCCCAGUGUUUCAGGCCUAAAUCUAACAACUUCAAUUAUUUUUGGAGAUGGGGUCUUGCUCUAUCACCCAUGCUGGAGUGCAGUAGCACCAUCAGAGCUCCCUGCAGUCUCU